UACAGAGGGUGCAAGCGUUAAUCGGAAUUACUGGGCGUAAAGCGUGCGUAGACGGUUAUGUAAGUCGGGUGUGAAAGCCCCGGGCUCAACCUGGGAAUGCCAUUCGAGACUGCAUAGCUAGGGUGCGGAAGAGGGAAGCGGAAUUUCCGGUGUAGCGGUGAAAUGCGUAGAUAUCGGGAGGAACACCAGUGGCGAAGGCGACUACCUGGCCUGUUCUUGACGCUGAGGCGCGAAAGCUAGGGGAGCAAACGGG
rnacentral:rRNA from 1 species